rnacentral:rRNA from 1 species
UGGGGAAUUUUGGACAAUGGGCGAAAGCCUGAUCCAGCAAUGCCGCGUGAGUGAAGAAGGCCUUCGGGUUGUAAAGCUCUUUUGUCAGGGAAGAAACGGUGAAAGCUAAUAUCUUUUGCUAAUGACGGUACCUGAAGAAUAAGCACCGGCUAACUACGUGCCAGCAGCCGCGGUAAUACAGAGGGUGCAAGCGUUAAUCGGAAUUACUGGGCGUAAAGCGCGCGUAGGUGGUUUGUUAAGUUGAAUGUGAAAUCCCCGGGCUCAACCUGGGAACUGCAUCCAAAACUGGCAAGCUAGAGUAUGGUAGAGGGUAGUGGAAUUUCCUGUGUAGCAGUGAAAUGCGUAGAUAUACGGAGGAACACCGAUGGCGAAGGCAAUCCCCUGGGCCUGCACUGACGCUCAUGCACGAAAGCGUGGGGAGCAAACA